rnacentral:rRNA from 1 species
AUUGAACGCUAGCGGGAUGCUUUACACAUGCAAGUCGAACGGAGUGGCGGACGGGUGAGUUAUAUAUGGGAAUGUCCCCAGUAGCGGGGGAUAACUACUCGAAAGUGUGGCUAAUACCGCAAUCUCUUGUGUCCGCCGAUAUGGGAUUCGGUAGUUGGUGGGGUAAAGGCUCACCAAGGCAACGAUCCGUAGCUGGUUUGAGAGGACGACCAGCCACACUGGGACUGAGACACGGCCCAGACUCCUACGGGAGGCAGCAGUGGGGAAUUUUGGACAAUGGGGGAAACCCUGAUCCAGCCAUCCCGCGUGUAUGAUGAAGGCCUUCGGGUUGUAAAGUACUUUUGGCAGGGAAGCGGUAUCUGCAGAAGAAGCACCGGCUAACUACGUGCCAGCAGCCGCGGUAAUAC